AUUGAACGCUGGCGGCAGGCCUAACACAUGCAAGUCGAGCGGAUGAAGGGAGCUUGCUCCUGGAUUCAGCGGCGGACGGGUGAGUAAUGCCUAGGAAUCUGCCUGGUAGUGGGGGAUAACGUCCGGAAACGGGCGCUAAUACCGCAUACGUCCUGAGGGAGAAAGUGGGGGAUCUUCGGACCUCACGCUACCAGAUGAGCCUAGGUCGGAUUAGCUAGUUGGUGGGGUAAAGGCCUACCAAGGCGACGAUCCGUAACUGGUCUGAGAGGAUGAUCAGUCACACUGGAACUGAGACACGGUCCAGACUCCUACGGGAGGCAGCAGUGGGGAAUAUUGGACAAUGGGCGAAAGCCUGAUCCAGCCAUGCCGCGUGUGUGAAGAAGGUCUUCGGCUUGUAAAGCACUUUAAGUUGGGAGGAAGGGCAGUACGUUAAUACCUUGCUGUUUUGACGUUACCAACAGAAUAAGCACCGGCUAACUUCGUG
rnacentral:rRNA from 1 species